AGCCCCAUAGUAUAGUGGUCAAGUAUGGCGGGUUCUGGGCCCGCAGACCCAGGUUCGAAUCCUGGUGGGGCUA
rnacentral:tRNA from 1 species